GACGAACUGUCCUAACGUUGUUCGGAAUCACUGGGCUUAAAGGGCGCGUAGGCGGUCGAAUAAGUCGGGGGUGAAAUCCUGCGGCUCAACUGUAGAAGUGCCUUCGAUACUGUUCGUCUGGAGGGAGAUAGGGGUGUGCGGAACUUCCAGUGGAGCGGUGAAAUGCGUUGAUAUUGGAAGGAACGCCGGAGGCGAAAGCGGCGCACUGGAUCUCUUCUGACGCUGAGGCGCGAAAGCUAGGGGAGCAAACGGG
rnacentral:rRNA from 1 species